UGUAGCCUCACCUAUUGGUUUGUUUCUGUUAAAUCUGUGAACCAAUCGGAGCGUGUUAUGAUUUUGUGGUUGCUCAUUGGUUGGUGCUACCCAAAUCUUCAAACCAAUAGGAGCAGGUUUUGUAGGAUAUAAGAAUCCUAGUUGUGUAGCACCUGAAAAACGUCAUCAUUGACGUCAUGCCCUGUAUGGAAGCGCUCUUUGUGAAUGAGCGGAGGGCGGCUGCGCGUCAUUCAUUAUCACCCUUGGCGUUGCGUGUUGUGAAUGAGAGGAUCGGCUUUUAGCUGGUUCCCAGAUGGCUGUGUGUUGCAGUAUUCGCAGCAGCUACAGUGUGCUGCACAUGAUGCGAUCUGGUAAUACACCUCGGAUGAUUGACCGGGCGUGACGUUUCAUUAACCCCUCGAUAAAUGUAAGUUUCGGACUACAUUGCUGCUUUGCCUGGAGAUUGUUUCUUUCGUGUGUGUUUGUGGAUUCGUCUAGUGGCACAUCCUCACCCUUUAUUGGACUGCAUCCAUUUAGGGGCUCGGGCUGGGAGGCGUAUAAUCUGGAUUCAGCCUUGCCCACAACGUUUAUUGGCAUGCAGGAGUGGUUGUCGGUGUGACGUAUCGACCAGUGUUAGUUAUUUUUUUGUUAAUGUUUUUUUGUUUAAUUUGGUGUUGUAUUUGUUCACUUCUAUAAAGUGGGAGCUUGCGCCGGAGUGUGUAGUUUACACUAUUUGCUGUGAGAAUUUUUGUGGUGUUUUCACGAGUGUAUUUUUAUAUAGUGUGGGGUGACCUCUUGACUUCCUGAAGGCGAGCUCCCCUUAUUGAUGUGAUUUUUGUAUUUUUUUUGUUUACUGUCAUACAUGUUUUCUAUUUAUUAUAAUAAACAAAUUAUAUUUUUCAAAUUCAUUGUUUGUAUCUUUCUCACCCCACCCACGACUAUUGGACCUGUGUCUCUUAGUUAAAGAUUUCCCGGGUUUCCCGGGUGGCGUAGUCGGAACAUUGGUAUCUCAAAAUUUGCAAUUCACCG